rnacentral:rRNA from 1 species
UGAGGAAUAUUGGUCAAUGGACGCAAGUCUGAACCAGCCAAGUAGCGUGCAGGAUGACGGCCCUAUGGGUUGUAAACUGCUUUUAUAUGGGGAUAAAGUGGGGAACGUGUUCCCUUUUGCAGGUACCAUAUGAAUAAGGACCGGCUAAUUCCGUGCCAGCAGCCGCGGUAAUACGGAAGGUUCGGGCGUUAUCCGGAUUUAUUGGGUUUAAAGGGAGCGUAGGCCGUUUGGUAAGCGUGUUGUGAAAUGUAGGAGCUCAACUUCUAGAUUGCAGCGCGAACUGUCAGACUUGAGUGAGCACAACGUAGGCGGAAUUCAUGGUGUAGCGGUGAAAUGCUUAGAUAUCAUGAAGAACUCAGAUUGCGAAGGCAGCUUACGGGGGCGCAACUGACGCUGAAGCUCGAAGGUGCGGGUAUCGAACAGG